GCAUAUCAAUAAGCGGAGGAAAAGAAAAUAACAAUGAUUCCUCUAGUAACUGCGAGUGAAGAGGGAAAAGCUCAAAUUUUAAAUCUGUUAGGUUUACCUAACCUGAGUUGUAAUUUGAAGAAGCUGUUUUCUGCGAAUUUGGUUAGUCCAAAUCCUUUGGAAUAAGGUAUCAUGGAGGGUGAGAAUCCCGUUCGGUUAACCAAAGCGCUUUACGAUACGCUUUCAAAGAGUCAAGUUGUUUGGGAUUGCAGCUUAAAAUGGGAGGUAAAUUUCUCCUAAGGCUAAAUAUUGGCGAGAGACCGAUAGCGAACAAGUACCGUGAGGGAAAGAUGAAAAGAACUUUGAAAAGAGAGUUAAACAGUACGUGAAAUUGUUGAAAGGGAAACGAUUAAAGUCAGUCGUACCUACGAGUGAUCAACCUACUCGAGUGCGAUUUUGUGGGUAUGUUAGAGCUUAAAAACCUUCAUGCUUACAAAUUGGUGCUCUUUGGGCGUACUUUCUCGUAUGGUAGGUUAACAUCAAUUUCGAUCGUUAUAAAAUGACUGGAGGAAUGUAGCUUCGACCUCGGUUGAAGUGUUAUAGCCUUUGGUAGAUGUAAUGAUUGGGAUUGAGGAUUGCAACAGGAUACCCUCUGGGCUAUUCGUCUGAUCUCUGGAAGUUACCUUGGUGUCGAAAGCGUGCUUACGAUAUUAAGGUUGACGGCCAAUAGGUUAGAACAGUGAUUAAAUUCGUUAAGGAUGUUGACGUAAUGGCUUUAAACGAC
rnacentral:rRNA from 1 species